GACGAACGCUGGCGGCGUGCUUAACACAUGCAAGUCGAACGAAGUGGCGAACGGGUGAGUAACGCGUAAUCAACCUGCCCUUCAGAGGGGGACACCAGUUGGAAACGACUGCUAAUACCGCAUACUGAAGGAGGGGUUUGCGUUUGAUUAGCUAGUUGGAGGGGUAAUGGCCCACCAAGGCGAUGGUCAGUAGCCGGUCUGAGAGGAUGAACGGCAAAAUUGGGACUGAGGAAAGGCCCAGACUCCUACGGGAGGCAGCAGGGGGGAAACGUCCGGAAUGGACGAAAGUCUGACGGAGCAACGCCGCGUGAGUGAUGACGGCCUGCGGGGUGGAAAGCUCUGUUAAUCGGGACGCGGUACCGGAAUAGAAAGCCACGGCUAACUACGUGCCAGCCGCCGCGGUAAUAC
rnacentral:rRNA from 1 species